rnacentral:rRNA from 1 species
GAUGAACGCUAGCGGCAGGCCUAACACAUGCAAGUCGAGGGAGAAGCCCUUCGGGGCGGAAACCGGCGCACGGGUGCGUAACGCGUAUGCAACCUACCUUUCACAGGGGGAUAGCCCGAAGAAAUUUGGAUUAAUACCCCAUAAUAUUAUUGGGUGGCAUCAUUUGAUAAUUAAAAUUACGAUGGUGAAAGAUGGGCAUGCGUCCUAUUAGCUAGUUGGAGUGGUAACGGCACCCCAAGGCUACGAUAGGUAGGGGUCCUGAGAGGGAGAUCCCCCACACUGGUACUGAGACAGGGACCAGACUCCUACGGGAGGCAGCAGUGAGGAAUAUUGGUCAAUGGUCGGAAGACUGAACCAGCCAUGCCGCGUGCAGGAAGAAUGCCUUAUGGGUUGUAAACUGCUUUUAUAUGGGAAGAAUAAGGUGUACGUGUACAUUGAUGACGGUACCAUAUAAUAAGCUC